GCAACGGAUAUCUCGGCUCUCGCAUCGAUGAAGAACGUAGCGAAAUGCGAUACUUGGUGUGAAUUGCAGAAUCCCGUGAACCAUCGAGUCUUUGAACGCAAGUUGCGCCCGAGGCCUUCGGCUAAGGGCACGCCUGUCUGGGCGUCACGC
rnacentral:rRNA from 1 species